AUGAAAAUAAUGAAGAGAACAGCAAGUCGGUUAGACGUGCUUGAAAGCGAGUCAACGAGUGGUGAAAGGUUGACCAAGUUACGAAACUGAUAGAUCAUCUCCGAAUAUUUAGUCGAUUAUGUUAGACUAAGUCGGGUCAUCCCCGUUAUUGAAUGACAAAGAGAAUUUUUUAAUUCUAAAUUUGGGUGGUACCACGAAAUCUUCGUCCCUUGC
rnacentral:ncRNA from 1 species